AAUGGCUCAGGAUGAACGCUGGCGGCGUGCUUAACACAUGCAAGUCGAACGAAGAUGCCGGAGUGCUUGCACUUUGGCAGACUGAGUGGCGGACGGGUGAGUAACGCGUGGGUAACCUGCCUUAGUACAGGGGGAUAACAGUUGGAAACGACUGCUAAUACCGCAUAAGCGCACGGUAUCGCAUGAUACAGUGUGAAAAACUCCGGUGGUAUAAGAUGGACCCGCGUCUGAUUAGCUUGUUGGUGAGGUAACGGCCUACCAAGCCGACGAUCUAUAGCUGGUCUGAGAGGACGAUCAGCCACAUUGGAACUGAGACACGGUCCAAACUCCUACGGGAGGCAGCAGUGAGGAAUAUUGGGCAAUGGAGGCAACUCUGACCCAGCCAUGCCGCGUGAGUGAAGAAGGUUUUCGGACUGUAAAGCUCUUUCGGGUGUGACGAUGAUGACGGUAGCACCUAAAGAAGCCCCGGCUAACUUCGUG
rnacentral:rRNA from 1 species